rnacentral:rRNA from 1 species
GUCGAGAAUCUUUCACAAUGGGGGCAACCCUGAUGGAGCGACGCCGCGUGGAGGAUAAGGUCUUCGGAUUGUAAACUCCUGUCAUGCGUGAACAAGGUUGCUUGGUUAAUACCUGGGCAAAUUGAUGGUAACGCAAGAGGAAGAGACGGCUAACUCUGUGCCAGCAGCCGCGGUAAUACAGAGGUCUCAAGCGUUGUUCGGAAUCACUGGGCGUAAAGGGUGCGUAGGUGGCGUGGUAAGUCAGAUGUGAAAGCCCGGGGCUCAACCUCGGAACUGCAUCCGAUACUGCCAUGCUAGAGUACUGGAGAGGUGACUAGAAUUCUCGGUGUAGCAGUGAAAUGCGUAGAUAUCGAGAGGAAUACCAAAGGCGUAGGCAGGUCACUGGACAGUUACUGACACUGAGGCACGAAGGCCAGGGGAGCGAACGGGAUUAGAAACCCUUGUAGUCC